AUGCCAUUUGGCCUUUGCAACGCGCCGGCAACCUUCCAGUGUCUGAUGAACAGUAUAUUCGGCCGCUAUGUCCGUAAGUUCAUCAUCAUUUUUCUUGACGAUAUAUUGGUCUUCAGCUGUGAUCUACAGGAACAUGAACAACACUUGCGCCUCACAUUUGACCUGCUACGUGAACACCAACUGUUUUCCAAGGCGUCCAAGUGUUCAUUCGCCCAGGAAAGCAUCGAGUACUUGGGCCACGUCAUUUCACAGGACGGCGUCGCCACGGACACAAGCAAGACGAGCGUGAUGCAGGCGUGGCCGGUGCCCUCUACACCCACUGAACUGCAUGGUUUUCUCGGCCUCACCGGCUACUACCGCAAGUUUGUCCCACAUUAUGGCAUCAUCGCGAAGCCGCUCACCCAGCUCCUGACCAAGAAGGGAUUCGAGUGGAGCGCCAAGGCCCAGCAGGCGUUCGAUAUGCUGAAACAAGCGAUGGUGAGCACACCCGUGCUAGCGCUCCCGAACUUCUCACGCCCUUUU
rnacentral:rRNA from 1 species